AGGUGCUGCAUGGCUGUCGUCAGCUCGUGUCGUGAGAUGUUGGGUUAAGUCCCGCAACGAGCGCAACCCUUGCCUUUAGUUGCCAUCAUUAAGUUGGGCACUCUAGAGGGACUGCCGGUGUCAAACCGGUGGAAGGUGGGGAUGACGUCAAGUCCUCAUGGCCUUUAUGACCAGGGCUACACACGUACUACAAUGGCAUAAACAAUGGGCAGCAACACCGCGAGGUGAAGCGAAUCCUCAAAUUAUGUCUCAGUCCGGAUUGGAGUCUGCAACUCGACUCCAUGAAGUUGGAAUCGCUAGUAAUCGUAGAUCAGCAUGCUACGGUGAAUACGUUCCCGGGCCUUGUACACACCGCCCGUCACACCACGGGAGUUGGUUGUACCAGAAGCAGUUGAGCGAACCUCUCGAGGGCGCAGGCUGCCAAGGUAUGAUUGGUAACUGGGGUGAAGUCGUAACAAGGUA
rnacentral:rRNA from 1 species